rnacentral:tRNA from 1 species
CGAGGCGCGUGCGGCGGCGGGGCGGCUCGUGGUCGCCCUCGGUGACGGUUCGGAGCCGUUCGCCUCGGC